rnacentral:tRNA from 1 species
GCCGAAAUAGCUCAGUUGGUAGAGCAACGGUUUUGUAAACCGUAGGUCGUGGGUUCGAGUCCCACUUUCGGCU